CGGUUGCAGGGAGAUUGCUUCUCCUCUCCCUCUGCCCCCCUCCUUCUUGUGUGCCCUCUCUCUCAUAUAGAUCAAUAAAAUCUUUAAAAACAAAACAAAAAACACCUCUAGCUUCCAUCUCUGUUUUAGGGAGGUGUAUCCCAGAGCACAUAAUAAUGUUACUCAUAGUUAUUCAUUGAGAGUUUCAUUUUCCUCCCCUUCCCCGUAACAACACUAGGGAGGGAGUGUGAUUUCUGGAUCAACUCCCUUUUUAAAAGUCCUAGGCUGAUCAUUUCAGCUCUGUAAGAGCCUUCCUUGAGAUUGGCUCACUUCAUUCACUAUGGUCAGCGCAAAUUCCCCUUUGGUGACCUGCGAACAUAGGAGUUCUGUAAAUGUCUGUGCAUUAACUGACUGUCCCUUAGAGUUACCAUUUCUACAGAUAGCUGAUCUCGUCUGGUAUGCUAAGUUUUGCCUUCUUGAAAGGGCCCUGAUGUUGCUUCUGCGUCCAGACCAUUUUUGCAACAUCUACACACAAGAGAAGAAAUGACGGAUGUAGCUGAAACCAGAGCAAACUGAAGAGCAUCUCUGGUUCCUGCCGGAAGGAAACAAAAAACUUCAAUUCUCCAAAGGGAAGCUACUCCGUCUGCAGCACAUAGGCCUUUACUGGAAACCCUGUUGCAUUUCCUCGGAGCAGUAGGCAUCAGGGACCCAUUGGAGAGCAAUGCUGAAUGUGUGUCCCUGUCCCGCUGGCUCUUAUGGCUGAGGGAGGGAAGUGAACAGAAACCAUGCCAUUUACUUCUGUGAGAUUUACUUCUGACUUGGACAAAGACACAGAAUUGCUAAAUGGAAUUCAGAGCAGAGAGCAACUGUUGCAAUUGCUUGCUGAGGCUGGAGCCGGUAAGGACUUGAAUAAGCAAAGGUUGGACCUGGUCAGAUCUGUUCUGAUUGCUGCAAAUGCCCGGAGGCUCCAAGCCAAGGGCGGCUCCCAUUCCACCUGGGCCGAGGAGGGAACAGGCCCGGGAAGAUCUUCAGGCUCCAGAAGCCAGCAGCCCCUGCAGAUGGCUGGGUCAUUUUGUGGUUUACAAAUGAUCGAGUCAGGUUGAAGCCGCAGUCUCUGUGGUUACGGGCAACCAUGAUUAGUCACACAGUCAGUGACCCAGUUAUGGCACACCCUCUUUUAA